CAAUGGAUUCCCGACGACCCCGAAGAAGAUCGCCGAGAAGGCGACAAUCAGUGAGAAGUGUGGGUGUUCGGGUCGGUGGACGUUCUACCCAUGAGGCGUUCUAGAUUUUAAUU
rnacentral:rRNA from 11 species